ACGAACGUUGGCGGCGUGCUUAAUACAUGCAAGUCAACUGAAGCACCGGUAGUAAUACUGGUGUGGAGGUGGCGCACGGGUGAGUAACACGUAGGUAAUCUGCCUUCAGGUCUGACAUAACCCCGAGAAAUCGGGGCUAAUAGCAGAUGAUGCAGCGGCUUGACAUCAAGACAGUUGUUAAAGCUUCGGCGCCUGAAGAUGAGCCUGCGUCUGAUUAGCUAGUUGGCGGAGUAAUAGCCCACCAAGGCGACGAUCAGUAGCUGGUCUGAGAGGAUGAUCAGCCACACUGGAACUGAGACACGGUCCAGACUCCUACGGGAGGCAGCAGUAAGGAAUAUUGCUCAAUGGGAGAAAUCCUGAAGCAGCAACGCCGCGUGAGGGAUGAAGGGCUUUUGCUCGUAAACCUCUGUAGUGAGGGAAAAAAUUUCCAUUCUAUGGAAUAUGAUGGUACCUCAAAAGUAAGCCCCGGCUAACUACGUG
rnacentral:rRNA from 1 species